rnacentral:rRNA from 1 species
GUGGGGAAUUUUGGACAAUGGGCGAAAGCCUGAUCCAGCCAUGCCGCGUGCAGGAUGAAGGCCUUCGGGUUGUAAACUGCUUUUGUACGGAACGAAAAGACUCUGGUUAAUACCUGGGGUCCAUGACGGUACCGUAAGAAUAAGCACCGGCUAACUACGUGCCAGCAGCCGCGGUAAUACGUAGGGUGCAAGCGUUAAUCGGAAUUACUGGGCGUAAAGCGUGCGCAGGCGGUUAUAUAAGACAGAUGUGAAAUCCCCGGGCUCAACCUGGGAACUGCAUUUGUGACUGUAUAGCUAGAGUACGGCAGAGGGGGAUGGAAUUCCGCGUGUAGCAGUGAAAUGCGUAGAUAUGCGGAGGAACACCGAUGGCGAAGGCAAUCCCCUGGGCCUGUACUGACGCUCAUGCACGAAAGCGUGGGGAGCAAACAGGAUUAGAAACCCGUGUAGUCC